CCACUUCACUCCAGGUUUAGAUUUUGAUGCUGCUUUCCGACAUUCGUGUGCGUGCGAGAAGAGAUCGCAAAACAAGGAUAAAAAAUAAUCUCACAUCGAUAAAAAGAAUCGGAUGAUACAUAUCGAAACCUUUUUGGUUGAAUUGAUGUAUGAUCUGUUAAUUGGAACUAAUUUGGCUAUUGUUGCGAUCCAUCGAACUGCAGCCGCAGAGCCACUGACCUUCGUGAAGGACCAUGUUGAGGUGUUGGACCACGGAAGCCACACGAUGAGGUACAAGGCGAUCGAAGGAGGUCACCUCGGCCGCACGCUCAAGUCGCACGCGUUCGAGGUCAAGUUCGAAGCGGCGGGCGCCGACAGCUGUGUCGUGAAGACCAAGACAGAAUACGAUACGAUCGACGACGCGCCGCUGCCGGAGGACGAGGUGCAGAAGAUGACGGACGUGCCAGUACGGAUGAUGAAGUCGGUGGAAGCCUAUCUGAUAGCCAACCCCGGUGUUUGUGCCUGAGCCCCUGAGCCUCUGAGCCGGUGGGCUUUCGUGUACCGACGUUGGUGCUUCCAGUGUCGUAGUGCUUGUCAUUGGGCGUGGAUCAAUCAAUAAUGAGGUGAUGCAGCAGUGCUGGAAUCAUCACCUUUAGAGUGAGAGAGUGAGAGAGUGAGAGAGAGAUAGGACAUGACAUGUUGAUGCCAUCUCUCUCUUUGUCUGUUCUUUCCAUCUUCUGCAAUGUGGUGUUUUGUGUGGUCGUUGAAGGACAUAUAUCUACAAAUAAGAUGUGAUUUCUUUGGUAUCAUGUAAUCCUUCUUUUUUGGUAUCAUUCUUAGUAGUCUCUUUUAAAGAUUCAAAGACUAGCGUAAUCCAAAUUAAACAUGGAUUUAAUUGAUUUUACUUAAACUAUAUGAUACGUUUAUAAUGUUUGUUCGUAACGAGUCAACCUUCUCGUAAUUUUAUUUACUCUCAUCCAUAAAUAAAUCAGUUACCGAUAAAUGAAUGCAUGAACAAACAAAUCGAUGUCACCUUAGUAAAAUAUACCUUGGGAUUAUAUAACUAAAAUUGAACAAAAUACCUUCUUAGACGACUAAAAUGGAUGCAUUUUGCUGAAAGAUUUUACGAUAAAAAAUUGAAGGUUAAUUCGUCGUCCAUAAAGUUUAAGUACAUAAGUGAUAGGUUCAUCCAUCGUCCAUAAAGUUUAAGUACAUAAGUGAUAAAACUUCAUCCAAUCUUAUGUUUGUUCAAAAUUUAUAUAAUUAAAUUUGAACAAAAUAUCUUACUAAAAUGGAUGCAUUUUGCUUGCUCUGAAAAAAUUUUACGAUAAAAAAUUGAAGGCUAAUCCAUCGUCAAUAAAAUUUAAGUACAUAAGUGAUAACGUAUCUUAGAACUUUCAUCCAAUCUUGUGUCGGUUCAAAAUUAAAUGUUAACAUGACAUGAGAUUUGACGUAAUAGUGAUGUGACCUUAUCUACAAACUCGAUAGAAACAAAUUAAUUCUUCUAUUUUUUAAGAUAAAUACUGGUAAUACGGCAACAUCAAAAAUAUUAUAUCGUACAAUUUGGUUCUUCCUCUUAGUUUCAAACAUGAAGCUCCACAAAGACGGCAAUAAAAUAAAAUUAACGAAGAAAAAUGCAACACGACAUCAACUCAUCGUGAUCUCACUCACCCUAACAAAGAAUAUAAUAAUAAACUACACCGUUGAAUGAACUGUUAAUUCUUUCAUUAAAUGCAUGAAAUACAUUUAUGGUGAAACUUUGUUUCUAACAUACAUACAUACAUACAUACAUACAUACAUACAUAUUUUAAUCUGACUAGCAUAUGCUUGAAGAAUCCGAUCAUUCUCGACUACGGCUGAUGAUGAUAUGGGGCUGCUCAACAAUGAAGACCGCAAAGUCUGCAUGCUUGUGAGCUUUGAAGUCUUCGCUUCAGUCAACAAAUACUAGCUAGUUUGAAUGCUUCCAAGUUUACCAUGACACCCACUUCUUAGAACAUUGAAUUGGGAUGAGGAUGCCAACAAGAGAAGAUGAACCGAUUCAUUGGCAUGGAGCGAUCUUCGCGUCAUCUCAGACCCCCCCCUUUUUCCAAUCUAAUCGAUGAGGUUACCUAAAGUUCAAACUUCAUCUGGAAGCCCGAGAUGACCCGGCACUCCAUCGCCGUCUAUAAAUGGACUCUUCCCCUUCCCUUCACCACCAACCCAUCACAGCCUGCAGAGCUCUCAUCCGGCAAAACACCUUCAUCGACGCCAUGGUUGCCGGGUGCUGCACCGAAGAGCUGACGCUCAAUGUCAGCGUCCACAGAGUAUGGAAGGCGGCCGCCUGCGAGGAUCACAUCCUGCUGCCAAAGAUCAUGCCGCAGUACUUCUCCGGCGCCGAGCUCAUCGGGGAUGGUGAAGCUGGCAGCACCAAGAUCUUCCACUUCGAUCCAGGUUUGGAUUCACAUCACCAAUGCUUCUUUCAGGUAACAGGAAGAUCCGUAAACUAUGCUGAUUUCAACUGGCAAUUCUGUGGAUGAGACUGCAGGUAUGAAGCCACUGAUCUUCGUGAAGAACCAUGUCGAAGUGCUGGAUCAUGGGAGCCACACCUUGAAGUACAAGACCGUCGAGGGAGGCCACCUCGGCCACACGCUCAAGUCGCACACCAUCGAGCACAAGUACGACGCCUUGAGCGCCGACACCUGCUCUCUGAAGAUCAAGGUGGAGUAUGAUACCAUCGACGACAAGGGGCUCCCCGAGGAGGAGGUGAACAAGAUCAAGGAGGGGUCGGUAUGGGUCGCCAAGGCUGUGGAAGGUUACCUGACCACCAACCCCGCUGCUUAUGCCUAAGCCUCUGGAAACUAUCCGUAUUGUCUGUCAUGUGUGGCUUAAUAAUGGUGGCGAUGCAGCAAUACUACUCAUCGUCACCACGAGAGAGAGAGAGAGAGAGUGUGUCUGUGUGUG
rnacentral:lncRNA from 1 species